rnacentral:rRNA from 1 species
AACGAACGCUGGCGGCAUGCCUAACACAUGCAAGUCGAACGAGACCUUCGGGUCUAGUGGCGCACGGGUGCGUAACGCGUGGGAACCUGCCCUUAGGUUCGGAAUAACUCCCCGAAAGGGGUGCUAAUACCGGAUAAUAUCUUCGGACCAAAGAUUUAUCGCCUUUGGAUGGGCCCGCGUUGGAUUAGCUAGUUGGUAGGGUAAAAGCCUACCAAGGCGACGAUCCAUAGCUGGUCUGAGAGGAUGAUCAGCCACACUGGGACUGAGACACGGCCCAGACUCCUACGGGAGGCAGCAGUGGGGAAUAUUGGACAAUGGGCGAAAGCCUGAUCCAGCAAUGCCGCGUGAGUGAUGAAGGCCUUAGGGUUGUAAAGCUCUUUUACCCGGGAUGAUAAUGACAGUACCGGGAGAAUAAGCGCCGGCUAACUCCGUG